rnacentral:rRNA from 1 species
UACAGAGGGGGCAAGCGUUGUUCGGAAUUACUGGGCGUAAAGGGCGCGUAGGCGGCCUGCUAAGUCGAACGUGAAAUCCCUGGGCUCAACCCAGGAACUGCGUCCGAUACUGGUUGGCUCGAAUCCGGGAGAGGGAUGUGGAAUUCCAGGUGUAGCGGUGAAAUGCGUAGAUAUCUGGAGGAACACCGGUGGCGAAGGCGGCAUCCUGGACCGGCAUUGACGCUGAGGCGCGAAAGCCAGGGGAGCAAACGGG